AGAUACGGCUCAGCGGUUGGAUCCCAAACAUGAGCUUGGAUUCACCAACCGGUUCUCUCAGGUCAUCUGAUCAAAGAAGCGAAAGAUCAGCAUCAGUUAAAAAAACAUUAGCAGGAAGCAGAAGAAUUGUUGUACCUCCCAAGCAACCUGAUAUCCUCGCUUCUGUCGAAGAGAUGAAUGAUAAGUUGAUAACUCUCCAGUCUAUUUACUACUUUGGAGUUCGUGAGAACAGAUGUUGAAGCCUCAGAAGAGAGCUAACAUGUUGGAGAUUUGGAAUCUUGGAAGAGUACAACUUUGGGUUUUUAGUUUUAUGAUAAACAUUAUAAAAUUAUGAAUAAAAAUAUGUAAACUUUGAAUUUUUAAUUUCAUGAUGAACAUUUACAAGUAUAAAUAAAAAAUAUGUAAGCAUUGGGUUUUUAA